GCCCUCGUAGCUCAGCUGGAUAGAGCAAUCGCCUCCUAAGCGAUAGGUCGCAGGUUCAAAUCCUGCCGUGGGCACCA
rnacentral:tRNA from 1 species